UUUCCGUAGGUGAACCUGCGGAAGGAUCAUUACUGAGUGCGGGCCCUCUCGGUCCAACCUCCCACCCGUGAUCAUUGUACCUUGUUGCUCCGGUGAGCCCGCCUCACGGCCGCCGCGGGGCAUCUGCCUCCGGGCACGCGCUGGCCGAAGACAACCUUGAACUCUGUCUGAAGUUUGCAGCCUGAGCGAAAACUAAAUAAGUUAAAACUUUCAACAACGGAUCUCUUGGUUCCG
rnacentral:misc_RNA from 1 species